rnacentral:antisense_RNA from 1 species
CGGGCCGUGUACUCCCAGACGGCGUCGCCCUCGAUGAGGGAGUGGUCCCCGAAAUAGGCCCCGUCCGCAUGGACCCCGAGCACCGUCUCGUCCCCGUAGGGCCCGGUGCCGACCUUCUCGACCUUGCCGUGCGCCAGCAGGUAGACGCGGUCCGCCGCCUCGCCCGCCGUGGCCAGGAGCUGCCCGGCGGGGAUCUCGCGCUGCUCGCACCUCCUGGCCAGCUCGGCGAGCGCCUCCUCGUCCUCGAAGUCCCUCAGCGCCGGGAGCUCACCCAGCUCGGCGGGGAUGACCGUGACCCGGUCCCCGGUCUGCACGAACGUGACCCGGCCGUCCCCGACCGAGUAGCUCAGCCGGCGGUUCACCCGGUACGUGCCGCCCUGCACCUGGACCCACGGCAGCAUCUUCAGCAGCCACCGUGAGGUGAUCUCCUGCAUCUGCGGAGCGGACUUGGUGGUCGUCGCGAGGUUCCGCGCGGCCGCCGUGCCGAGACUCUGCUGCGGCGG